UACCAGAGGACGGUGAGAAAAGUCAAGAGACAUGGAAAGUGCCUACUAAAACAGGUUGUGAACAAGAAUGCAUGUAUUCCAAACAAGAUCAAUGAGAUGAUUAGAAAGCUUAGAGGCCACUUUUGUCAAAGUAUGAUCAAUUUGAAGAUUAGAAAGCUUAUUAACAACUCAAAAAAAAAAAAAAAAAAAUCUUUUCUAUCAAGCUUAUUAACCACUCAAGCUUCAUCCUCUUUCUACUUUUGUAUCACCUCAUCUUAAGGGUAUUCAAAUAACCCGACAAACCAAACAACCUAGACUAUCCAACCUAAGUUGUAAGGGUUGGGUUGGAUUAGUUUUCUGUUUUGGAUUAGGUUGGGUCUCGGGUUUGAAUAAAUUUUUUUUCGAGUUAACCCAACCCAACCCAACCCAACCCAAAAUAUAUAUAUAUUAGUAAAAAAAAAAAAUAUAUUUCUUUUAGAAUUGAGGAAUUUGUGAAUUUUUAAUGUUAUUCUUUUAGGAAUGUAUGUCUUUGUUUAAAGUUUGUAAUAGAUAUCGUGGAUAUUUAGUAUUUAACAUUUAAGUUUACGAGAUUUUGGUUAUUAGACAUUUAUUGUAGAUAAAUUUAAAUACUUUAAAUUAAUAAGGAAAAAAAAAUAAUAAACCGAAACUCAACCCAACCUAUAUUUUGAGGGUUGAGUUGAGUUGGGUUAGAAACCCUGUUCGAGUCUUUUGGGUUGCCAAUCCGACCAACCCAAAUUUUCAAGUUGGUCCAAAAAAUCCCCACAACGCAACCCAACACAACCUAUUUACACCCCUACCUCAGCUCAAGUGUGAAGUUACUCAAGUUUACUCUGUGCGAAUCGAUCAGGUGAAUUUUCACCAAGGCAUCUUUAUUGUUGAAUGAUUGUUCCAAUGGCUGAGGCCAAUUGGAUAAAAAUUGAGAUCACGACUUCUUUCCUCAAUAUUUACUCUACAAGUUUUUUCCUCAAUAUUUACUCUACUUCCUCUAAAUCUUUACAUUGAGAAGACCUUUUAAGUUCUUAGGUUCCACUUAAAUCUUCAUCCUUGUUUUCGUUGGGUAAGAAAACAGAAAAGGAAAGAAAGCAAAAAGCUCUCAAAUUGAAAAUGUAAAAUAUGGACCCUAUAAUGCAAUUUCGAGUUCAGAGUAAAUAAGAAGGAUACUUCUCUCUUCAUCUUUGUGGGGUCGUUUUUGCAGGAGUUAAUGAAAGAGAAGGGGAAGAAUUCUGUUUCUGAAGGCCAAUUUCCCAUCAACAGGAAUAGGUAACGUAGCAAAGAUUGUAGUUAUAAUCUCUUUAUUACUAGAACUUCUUCCUUGGAAAGAGAACUAGAUAAACUGGAGGAGCACUCGGAAGUCCACUGUGAUUAACCAAAGAAAGAACAAUGAAAAAAAAAGGUGGAAAGUAAAAGACAUAAAAUAAGGCAGAAAAAUAAGGAAGAAUGAAAAGGAGAAGGGGGAAGCAGAAGAGGAGAAGGAAAAUAAAGGACAGAUAAAAGGGUUCCACGAUGAAAGAGUAUUAGGUGCAAAAGAUAGGGAGCGAGAUAUGGUAAGAUGAAAUUUUUUGGAAGAUGAAUAUUUAUAAUUCAUUAUGUGAAUUGUUUGAUGCAUUUGUACUUUUUUUUUCUUCACGUGUUAUUUCACAUGUAGGAGGGGUUCUUUCUUCCCUCAUGAGGGUCUAGGAGAAACCAAAUUUUUAUUGAGAAGAAAAUGAAAGAAUUACAAGGAUACAAGGGAAAAAAAAUAGCCCCUUGAAAAGAGGGUGCACAAGAACAAACUAAAGAAACUGGCUCCAUUCCAGCCAAGAAUAAGCCUAAAUCACAAGUACAAAAAGUUCUUGUGACAGACACAAAGAGAGGCAUUAAACCUAGCUGACUCCCAAACCUUGCCACACGACCUCUUAACCUGUGUAAAGAUUCUGUUAUUACACUCAUGCCAAAUACCCCAAAUGAUAGCAAAGAAUCUGGGUGCACAAGACUUUGCCCUUGUGCAGGAAGGCCAACAAAAAAGCAACUCAUCCAAUGGUAAAGCAGCUUCUAUUCCAAACUCAACAAAGCCCCAAAAGAGUUCAGUCAAGAUACAAAAAACGGGUAGGAAGAAGAGAGGGAAACAAAAGUAGAAAGAAGGGAAAAGAACGAAAAAGAAAUGAAGAAGCAUAGAUAAAAGAAAGACGUAUAAAUAAGUAGAAGAGAAAAAAGUGGGAAAAAAGGGAGCAAUAAAGAAGAGAGAGAAAAGAGGGAGGAGAACGGCUUUAGUAAAAGAGAGAAAAUUGGUUUGAUACUUUUGUUGUAGUUGAUGUGUGGACUCGUUUUUUUUUUUUUGGUAUGUCCUCAUUUUUUUAAUCAUUUUUCUCACUAGAAGUUUGGAGUCUCGGUUUCUUACUGAAAAGAGAGAACGAGGGAAAGAAAAAAAAGGAUGACAGUGACAAUUUGUAUAUUUUCAAAAACAAAAAUUGUGGAAUUAUUCAAUGAGCUGAAAAAAAAUUCUCCUGUAAAAAUAUCUUUGGUUUAGGGCAUGAUUUGAAGUGAUUUUGAAAAGGUUACAAUAACUUCUUUUCAUGUUUCCUCCGAAACAUGCCUUUAAUUAUUCAAACUUAAUUUGAUGGUAUGUAAACUGUGUUUAAAAGUGUAAAACCGAACAUUCAAAUAAUUUUGAAGGGAGUGAUUUUGAAUAUGAAAAAAGUGAUUUUUAACCUUUUUAAAAUUACUUCGAACGAUGCCCUUAGUUAUCAAGUCUUACAAAUUCUGAAAUGUUGCCGCUUUUUGUGGGCUGAAGUUUAUGCAUGUAUGGACCGUAUGGUUUUGUACAAAAUUGUGGAUUGAAAUGCUGCUCCAAUCCAAUAAAGUUUUGGUUUUGUACAACAAAAUUGUUUCGCAGUUUCUGGAGGCAAAGGAACAGCUUGUUUCAAGGUAGCUGCUGAAGUUGCAAUGUCUGAACCGUUUGUUAUGGGAGGACUAAAUUGUGUGCCAAGUUUUUGCUCUCGGCAGUUUGUUUUGACUUAUGUGGGAGCUCAAAAGAAAGCUGCUGUUGGGGGUUUAAGAGUUUGAAAUUUUCAAUUGUUGACAUCAUAAUGUGCUGGCCUAGUCUUUGUUAAGUUUUCUGCACAAUCAAGUGUUAGCAUGGCUUGCUAUGGUCAGUGCUGUAAGAUUUUUAUAUAGUUCUGUUGGUACUUCAUGUGUGUAAUUUGUUUGAUACUUCUCUGUGAUUUUUCAUUUAAUUGAUGAAAAAAAUUGUUUCCUUUUCUUCUGUAAAAAAGAAAUCCAAUCUUUGCCAAUAAAAAAGCCUUUAAAACUGCCAUUAAACAUAUCCUUAUCAGUAUGGCUGAGAACUUCACCAAACAGAAAGAAUAGAAGCAGCGGUCAUGUUUCACCUCGAUGAAGCCUUUAGAAGGACAAAUCCACCAUGAAGGAAUAUCGACAAUUUAUUACCUUACCAUAGAAAGUUUGUACUUUUUCAAAAUCCUGGAUCCUAUACAAAAUACCUAAAUCAAAAUGUCACUAAACUGGAUUUUUUUAAAAACUUUUGAAAUGCCACUUUAGACAACACAUCAUUGCCGAUCAAUACCUUCACGAGGGAGUUGAAGCAUUGCUCGCCUAUACCCAAGGGAUUCCCAUGCAGUCCCACUGGACUAGAGAAACAUCAACGAUUUUCUUGGUAUUAAGCUCACCUGAAGAUGUGACUUGGUGCAAACUUGGAACCUCUAAGCUGGGAUGACCUAUAGAGCAAGCCCUUGCCAGCGGGGCUGCCCCCUUGGGGACCACUAAUCAUCUCAGUAAUUUGAAAAUGAGUGGAUGGCAACCAGCUUUCAGUUUGAACAUUGAACUGAAAAUGACACUUACGAUCAAGUAGACACGUAGGUUUUGACUAGGAGAUCAAGGAUUUUUUCUCGUCUGUUCUGUACUAUAUUCAGAAAUUUUGAGCUCAACGAGCAAGAGGUUAUUCAAUGUCUAGCCAAAGUUUAAACAUGGAUUUGCUAACUUCUAAAAGAAAAUUUUGGACUCCUAUAAACAAGAAAUUAUUCAAUGUCUAGCCAAACUUUGAAUAAGCUACAAAUCCAACAAUAAAACUUUUAGAACUCAAGGAUACAGUUGUACAAUCUAUAGAGCAGAUCUUGUUCAAGUGAGGUCUUAAAUGCAACAAUGAAAUGAGAACAAAGUCCAUGAAUUUAAAUACAACAAAAAUGAAGGCCAGGAAUAUAAGGGACAAUUUUCAUUACAUUACAACAUACAACAUAUAAUUCAACAGGAAUGUCAUUUGGAAUUCAAUUUUUGACGGAAUGAGGUAUAUAAAUUAAAGCAAUUUAUGAACCAUGUCCAAACCAGACAAAAGCUUAAAUAUUCAAAGAAAGCAAAUGAAGAGAAAAAAAGGGAAAAUUGCAAAAACCACCCCUAAACUAUAUGGUUAGUUACAAUCACACCCCUAACCUUCAAUUUGAUCAAUUAUAUCCUCGUGGUUGCUUAAUGGUAGAAAUCAGCCCCUUUUAUCAAAUUAACUUUUGGUUAUUUGUGGUGUCAUCUCCUUCAAUGGUUUGCAAACCCACUUGAAUUUUGAUGUUAGUUUUUUCCUCCACCACAAUGCAGGUACUACUAAUACCAAUAGUAACAGUUUGACAUUUCUAGAUAGUACAGUUAAUGGAAGAAGGAAGAUUUAAAGAGGAAGUUGCAGAGGUUCAGGCACGGUGGAUUUCAGAGGGAUUCAAUCUAACACAUGGCCGUUCACGGCAAAAGAUGUCGUGUCACAAGGCAGUCUGAGACAAAGCAAUGCUUCAAACCAUUUAGCUAAAAAGCUAUGGCGAACCCUCAAAACCCACCAAGCCAACAGCACAGCCUUGAGGAUUUAGAGAGAGAGAAUAGAUAGGAAAUCAUGGUGGGUUCAAAUCAAUCCCAACGUUUUGUAGAGGCUAUAAUGAAUUAAUGGUUACCGAAUGAAAUCUUUGGCUUUUGAUGAAGAGGGAGGAGAGAGGAUGAUGAAGAAGGAGAAGGAAACAAGAAAAAAUUCAACAAAAAAAAAAAAUAA